CCUACGGGAUGCAGCAGUGAGGAAUAUUGGUCAAUGGACGAGAGUCUGAACCAGCCAAGUAGCGUGAAGGAUGACUGCCCUAUGGGUUGUAAACUUCUUUUAUAAAGGAAUAAAACGAGGCACGUGUGCCUUUUUGCAUGUACUUUAUGAAUAAGGAUCGGCUAACUCCGUGCCAGCAGCCGCGGUAAUACGGAGGAUCCGAGCGUUAUCCGGAUUUCUUGGGUUUAAAGGGAGCGUAGAUGGGUUGUUAAGUCAGUUGUGAAAGUUUGCGGCUCAACCGUAAAAUUGCAAUUGAUACUGGCAGUCUUGAGUACAGUUGAGGUAGGCGGAAUUCGUGGUGUAGCGGUGAAAUGCUUAGAUAUCACGAAGAACCCCGAGUGCGAAGGCAGCUUACUAAACUGUGACUGACAUUGAUGCUCGAAAGUGUGGGUAUCAAACAGGAUUAGAUACCCCAGUAGUC
rnacentral:rRNA from 1 species